GAGCGGCUCAAGGCUGUUCAGGCCCCACACGGUGUGCAGGCCAGCACAUGGAGAGCCGGCUCUGGAAGCAGCUCGAGGCUGCUCAGCUAUCAUCAGAACUCCCAGUUUGCUCCUGUCAGUGGCUGAAGACCACACAGGAUAUCAGCACUUACCACUACUUAAAGGUUCUUAUAUUGUAUCCCUUUCUCAUCAUAUUUGGGCACCACAACAUAUCUAUCCAUGGGAACACACA